rnacentral:rRNA from 1 species
AUUGAACGCUGGCGGCAGGCCUAACACAUGCAAGUCGAACGGUAACAGGAAGAAGCUUGCUUCUUUGCUGACGAGUGGCGGACGGGUGAGUCAUGUCUGGGAAACAGCCUGAUGGAGGGGGAUAACUACUGGAAACGGUAGCUAAAACCGCAUAACGUCGCAAGACCAAAGAGGGGGACCUUCGGGCCUCUUGCCAUCGGCUGUGCCCAGAUGGGAUUAGCUAGUAGGUGGGGUAACGGCUAACCUAGGCGACGAUCCCUAGCUGGUCUGAGAGGAUGACCAGCCACACUGGAACUGAGACACGGUCCAGACUCCUACGGGAGGCAGCAGUGGGGAAUAUUGCGCAAUGGGCGCAAGCCUGAUGCAGCCAUGCCGCGUGUAUGAAGAAGGCCUUCGGGUUGUAAAGUACUUUCAGCGGGGAGGAAGGGAGUAAAGUUAAUACCUUCGCUCAUUGACGUUACCCACAGAAGAAGCCCCGGCUAACUCCGUG